CUUGCUUUCUUGAUGACGACCGGCGCACGGGUGCGUAACGCGUAUACAACCUACCUUUUAGCGGGGAAUAGCCCAGGGAAACUUGGAUUAAUGCCCCAUAGUAUAUAGACUUCUCCUGAAGUUUAUAUUAAACAUUUAUGGCUAUUAGAUGGGUAUGCGUCCUAUUAGUUAGUUGGUAAGGUAACGGCUUACCAAGGCAGCGAUAGGUAGGGGUCCUGAGAGGGAGAUCCCCACACUGGUACUGAGACACGGACCAGACUCCUACGGGAGGCAGCAGUGAGGAAUAUUGGACAAUGGGCGAGAGCCCGAUCCAGCCAUGCCGCGUGCAGGAAGACUGCCCUAUGGGUUGUAAACUGCUUUUACAGAGGAAGAACCACCCCCACGUGUGGGGGUUUGACGGUACUCUGCGAAUAAAGAUCGGCUAACUCCGUA
rnacentral:rRNA from 1 species